rnacentral:piRNA from 1 species
UAGCACUGAAUGGCCUCCCUACC